rnacentral:ncRNA from 1 species
UGGAGCUGUAUGAGAUGCAAAUCUCACGUACGGUUCUGAAACGGAGGGUUUUUAAAAUUGAACGACGACCGUAAC